GAGGACCGUCUGGAUCAUGGACGAGUGUGUCGCGAUGGGGAAGGCAUGGAUCAGUGUAGUGGAGGAUCCUUACGUCGGGGCGAACCAGCACAUCGACCGGAUGUGGUGGCGCAUUAGCCAAAGCUACCUCCAGUUCAAACCGUCAGGGGGAAGCUUAACAACGGAGAGCAAUGCCAGGAACAGUGGGAUCGGCUGAAGAGGCAGCUCGGCCGAUUUGCCGGCAUUUACACAAACAACCUUCGCUCGGCAACCAGCGGCAUGUCUGCCUAGGAUGUGAAGCUCCUGUCUCAUGAGCAGUUCCCUGACACUCAGUUGGGCUUCGGGGAAUUCAAAUAUUGGGCGGUGUAACUUGUUGUGCACUCUUCGGCCAAGUUCACUGCGGGUGUUGAAUCUGGCUGGCCGAAGCGGACGAAGAUCAGCGACUCCGGAGAGUACAGUAGCAGUGUCGGUUCCGCGGAACUCCCCCCGCCGAGGCAGAGUUCCCGACACCCACAUCGUUGGCCCGCCGCCGUCACCCGGUUGGGCAAAAGUUCACGGCGCGGAUGGCGAGGAGAAGCCCCAGCGGAUCCGCCGAGGCCCAAUCGCAGCACCCGUCCAAAACGAUCCCGAGAACCCCUCAUUCGCCCGCAUCGCGGCACAUGAAACCUUGUUACGUGUAAUGGUUGAAUGGAUCCAAUCGACCAACCACCAUUACAUGCGGUCGCUUAAACCCCUCAUCAAUAGUAUGCCGCGCGAUUUGUGGUUCGGAGACAUGUCGGAGGGUGACGGCGAGGGGGGGUGGCGGCGACGGGGAAUCCGAGGAGUGAGAAGCCGGUUUUUAUUUUAAUAAUGAAGUCCUUCGAGAAUUUCUUAUGACGUGGUAGUGCAGUAGGAAGUUCGUAUGACGUGGUAGGAGGUGUUUUUGGGAAUUCCGUGCCACUGAUGCUUUCUGGAGGGGAAAUGCAAAAACAACAAGACGAUCGCCAGUUUUUUAGUUAAGCCGCAAGCAAAAGUGCAAAGAGCGAAAACCAGAAGAAGCGAAAAUGGAAGUAGAAAAGGAGGAAUCAGUGGAAUUAUGGUGCCGAGAAACGUUACCGAAAGUGAUGAAGAUUGUCAGUGUGAGGCUCCCUCAAAGGGACCUGAUUAAUCUUUUGCUCGUUAGCCCUUGGAUUAAUCGUAAUUUGGUUUCUCACCCUUCACUGUGGCUGGUUCUUGAUUUUCAUGAGAUGAGUGAUGCAGGGAAUCGCCUUGUGGCAGCUCUCUCACUGCCGAGAUACCAGAAUGUGAAGCAUAUAAACCUUGAGUUCGCCCGUGAUAUUGAAGACAAACAUCUUGAAAAUCUUAAAAACAAGUGUGGAAAUUCUGUUAAGAAUGUAGAGACUCUUAAUUUGAAUGGCUGCCAAAAGAUAUCUGAUAUUGGAAUUGGAUUUAUAACCAGCAAUUGCUCAAAAUUGAAGGUGUUCUCGAUCUACUGGAAUGUUAGGGUGUCAGAUCUUGGCAUUAGGAGCUUGGUUAAUAACUGCAAACUCGUGAUUGAUUUGAACCUGAGUGGUUGUAAGAAUGUCACUGAUGAAAGCUUAAAAUUGAUUGCCGAAAAUUAUCAAGGAUUGCAGUUGUUGAACAUAACAAGAUGUGUCAAGAUAACGGACAAGGGUUUGGAUAUGGUACUGGUCAAGUGCUCCUCACUUCAUAGUUUGAAUCUUUACGCCCUUUCCAGUUUCACAGAUGCCGCCUACAAGAGGAUAUCGCUCUUGACUCACCUGCGAUUCUUAGAUCUCUGUGGUGCUCAGAAUCUGUCUGAUGAUGGCCUUUCUUGUAUAGCUAAGUGCAAGAACCUAACUUCGCUAAAUUUGACUUGGUGCGUGCGCAUCACUGAUCAAGGAGUUGUCUCUCUUGCAGAAGGCUGCAAAUCUCUCGAGUUUCUGAGUGCAGCCUGUUUGGAAUAGUGGGAGUUACAGACAAGAGCUUGGAGGCUCUCUCAGGCUGCUGUUCGGCUACGCUUACGACGCUCGAUGUUAACGGUUGUAUCGGCAUAAAGAGGCGAAGCCGUGAUGAAUUGCUGCAGUUGUUUCCCAAGUUGGUAUGCUUUAAAGUCCAUAGCUAAAAUGGAGAAAUAUGAUUUGGGUGCAGACUAUCUUUGAACUUUAACUAAUGCCUUUCUAUGUUUUGAAAGUUUUGGAUGUAAUUCUUUGACAUUUUCCCUAGAAAGAUUCAGUUAAUGUUGUAUUCGAUAUAGAAUUACUUAACAUUUCUUUGUCCCAAAAAAGGCUAUUAAAUGUUGCCUUGAAAAA